rnacentral:rRNA from 1 species
GACGAACUUUGGCGGCGUGCUUAACACAUGCAAGUCGAACGGAAAGGCCCUGCUUUUGUGGGGUGCUCGAGUGGCGAACGGGUGAGUAACACGUGAGUAACCUGCCCUUGACUUUGGGAUAACUCCAGGAAACUGGGGCUAAUACCGGAUAGGAGCUCCUGCUGCAUGGUGGGGGUUGGAAAGUUUCGGCGGUUGGGGAUGGACUCGCGGCUUAUCAGCUUGUUGGUGGGGUAGUGGCUUACCAAGGCUUUGACGGGUAGCCGGCCUGAGAGGGUGACCGGCCACAUUGGGACUGAGAUACGGCCCAGACUCCUACGGGAGGCAGCAGUGGGGAAUAUUGCACAAUGGGCGGAAGCCUGAUGCAGCAACGCCGCGUGCGGGAUGACGGCCUUCGGGUUGUAAACCGCUUUCGCCUGUGACGAAGCGUGAGUGACGGUAAUGGGUAAAGAAGCACCGGCUAACUACGUGCCAGCAGCCGCGGUGAUACGUAGGGUGCGAGCGUUGUCCGGAUUUAUUGGGCGUAAAGGGCUCGUAGGUGGUUGAUCGCGUCGGAAGUGUAAUCUUGGGGCUUAACCCUGAGCGUGCUUUCGAUACGGGUUGACUUGAGGAAGGUAGGGGAGAAUGGAAUUCCUGGUGGAGCGGUGGAAUGCGCAGAUAUCAGGAGGAACACCAGUGGCGAAGGCGGUUCUCUGGGCCUUUCCUGACGCUGAGGAGCGAAAGCGUGGGGAGCGAACAGGCUUAGAUACCCUGGUAGUCCACGCUGUAAACGGUGGGUACUAGGUGUGGGGUCCAUUCCACGGGUUCCGUGCCGUAGCUAACGCUUUAAGUACCCCGCCUGGGGAGUACGGCCGCAAGGCUAAAACUCAAAGGAAUUGACGGGGCCCCGCACAAGCGGCGGAGCAUGCGGAUUAAUUCGAUGCAACGCGUAGAACCUUACCUGGGUUUGACAUGGAUCGGGAGUGCUCAGAGAUGGGUGUGCCUCUUUUGGGGUCGGUUCACAGGUGGUGCAUGCCUGUCGUCAGCUCGUGUCGUGAGAUGUUGGGUUAAGUCCCGCAACGAGCGCAACCCUUGUUCACUGUUGCCAGCACGUUAUGGUGGGGACUCAGUGGAGACCGCCGGGGUCAACUCGGAGGAAGGUGGGGAUGACGUCAAGUCAUCAUGCCCCUUAUGUCCAGGGCUUCACGCAUGCUACAAUGGCUGGUACAGAGAGUGGCGAGCCUGUGAGGGUGAGCGAAUCUCGGAAAGCCGGUCUCAGUUCGGAUUGGGGUCUGCAACUCGACCUCAUGAAGUCGGAGUCGCUAGUAAUCGCAAAUCAGCAACGCUGCGGUGAAUACGUUCCCGGGGCU